UAUUCCACGUAGCUCUCUUCGUCGAAGCGUCUACUAAAUCGAUAAAUCCUGGCCCGGAACGGCGUAUACGCAAUCAAUCUCGCCGGCUCCUACGUGGCCUCGUCCCUCACGACAAAAGAGAACGAGAGGACGCCUUUCGAUCUGGACCCAUCCCUCUCGCUCACAACGAAAUCCAGCCGACGCCUUCGUCUUCCAAGGGGCCGCCUAGAGGCCGCGUCAACUCCCCGGUUUCGUAGAACCCCCGGUUUCCUUCGAUACCAAUAACACAGCGCCUGCGUAUAAAGCAUCUCCGACCCCUGUGGGAAAUCUCAAUUCCGCUCACAGACAUAGCAUCCAAAAAAAAAACACCAACUCAGGGAAAGAGAGAUGUCGAGUUUAGUAGGAAUGUGGAUGGGAGAGUUUGCGAAGCUUGGCAAGAAGCAAGCUGGUAGUAGUGGAGGGAGUUGUCAUGUCGAGUCGGGCGGUACUCGUCGAUGCACGCAGCAAGAAGGUGAUGGAAAAGAAGAGAUUAUUUUGGCAAAGCAGCAAGCAAUUCGUGGUGGGGGGAGGAGGGAGGUGACCCUCUCCGAAGCCACCAUGUGCCUGCUCAUGGAUCGGUUUGCGCCCAGCUGAGCUUCAGGAUUGGAUCUAAUGGUGUACAGAGAGGCUAAAGGCCUUACAUGGCUCUGAUAUGUAUAAAAUGUUCUGAGGUUAUCCUCUAUGUAUACGAGCUUAACUAUUUUCAGUAGAUAAUACCAGUUUGAUUGUAUUUAUAUUUGUAUUUGUGUAGCACGAGUUGUUCAUGAUAUCAAUUGAACUGUGGUUCCUAUACUCAUGUUUAACUUCUGCGGGUCAAGCUGCAGCUUGGGUUUUUGGAGAAUUUAUUUUGAGUGUAUUUUCCCCUGUAUGAUGCGGUUUGAACAUUAUAAUUAAGAAGUUAUAUCAGCCUGGCUUGGAGAAUCUAGAACUUGAACCCAGACAUAAAAGCAUUUGAUUGAUUAGUCGUGUCUCAGUUAUCAAGAGUUGGAUAGCCGUGGAUUGUUCAUUCAAUGGCUCUUACCGGUAAAUAGCAAUUAAUAAAAUAUAGUACUGUAAUAUGUCAUGUACUCAUGUGAUGGUUUUUCUUUCAGAAUUUUCAUAUUUGAUGCAGUUAAAUGCAAUGGUGCGUAGUUAUUUGCUUUCUUUUACUAUAUUUCUUCUUCUUUUUUCCCUUUUUGUUUCUAUCUUUUUUUUUUCUUUUCUUUUCUUUAAAAAAUUAUGCAUAUGUGGUUUAUAGCUCUCCUGCUGUAUUCCUUCCUUUUGUUUUUGCUUGUGGCAUUCUGAAAUAGUUUGAAAUCCAAUUGCGUGGAAAGAAAAAUUAAAGUCCGAUUUCUAAAGAGAGCUACUUAGCAUAUAACAUUAGGCACUUGAUAUCAGGAUCAAUCAUAUGCCGGGUCAUAAUAUUUGUUUGUGUAUUUGCUUGAAUGGUUGCUUAGGAAUUAUCUUCCCUGAGGGCAGGAGGGUUCCUCCUGGGUUCCUUCAACAUUCCCGUCUUCAUUUUGCAAGAAGACCCGUCGCUGGACCUUUUUUUUUUUUUUUCUGUAGACUAGUUUUCCCGGCUAGAUAUAUUUUUCGACAACGUUCUAAGAUAAGUAAUUGCGUGAACCAUCCAAACCAUGUCCAUUAAGCUGUUAGUAGUCUGGAUUAUGCUAAGAUGGGAAACUGAAGUAAUAUAAGUUGCACUUGUCGAAAUGCUCAAUAUUCUUUGGGGAUGGUUACAUGAAGACAGGAGGAUUGAGGAAGCUUUUAUCUCUUCUAUUACACAAUUACAAAUAAUGUAUACAAAUUGAAAGACAUCAAUAGUGUUAAGGAAGAUAGUGAGAAAAAAAAUGAAAAAACAGAUUUAUGUACAGACAUUUUUCCCCUCCAACCAUCAUUGAGAAAAGGUACUUGGCUCCGUGCUAUAAAAUGUUUCACCGGAGCCGAAAACCGGCCUCUCAUCCUCCCACUUCAGAAUCUCUCUUGCAUAUCUGAGUGCUGCAUCUACUGAAUCUGAAUCCAGCCCAUUUGUUAAAGUGACAUACAAUUUUUGCCCGGUGAGAGAAUAAAAUAACUUCUUAAAUUUGACAGCGAUGUAGUGAAAGGCCUGCUGCGCCCUAGUGGCACCAUUGUUGGUGUUACGGCUU
rnacentral:lncRNA from 1 species